rnacentral:misc_RNA from 1 species
UUUCCGUAGGUGAACCUGCGGAAGGAUCAUUAUCAAAAGUCAAGUCGGGGGCUGUAAAGCUCUCGUCUACACCCAUGUCUUUUGCGUACUCUUGUUUCCUCGGUGGCGCAAGCUGCCGAUUGGACAAACCAAAACCUUUAUUUUUUAACUCUUUGUCUGAAAAAUAUUAUGAAUAAACAAUUCAAAAUACAACUUUCAACAACGGAUCUCUUGGCUCUC